rnacentral:rRNA from 1 species
UACGUAGGGUGCGAGCGUUGUCCGGAAUUAUUGGGCGUAAAGGGCUCGUAGGCGGUCUGUCACGUCGGGAGUGAAAACUCGGGGCUUAACCCCGAGCCUGCUUCCGAUACGGGCAGACUAGAGGUAUGCAGGGGAGAACGGAAUUCCUGGUGUAGCGGUGAAAUGCGCAGAUAUCAGGAGGAACACCGGUGCGAAGGCGGUCUCUGGGCAUUACCUGACGCUGAGGAGCGAAAGUGUGGGGAGCGAACAGG